rnacentral:rRNA from 1 species
GUCCAGCCUGCCCAGUGAUAUAAUUCAACGGCCGCGGUAUCCUAACCGUGCGAAGGUAGCAUAAUCACUUGUUCUUUAAAUGAGGACUUGUAUCAACGGCAUCACGAGGACUGUACUGUCUCCUUUCUCUAAUCAGUGAAACUGAUCUCCCCGUGAAGAAGCGGGGAUAUAUAUAUAAGACGAGAAGACCCCAUGGAGCUUAAAACAUACACACACCUCUGAAUUACUAAAUCAGUUAAAUAAAGAAAUUUGUGAGUCAGUUUUAGGUUGGGGAGACCACGGAAUAAAACUAAACCUCCAUGACAAACGGGCCAACGCCCUUAUCCAAGAAUUACAAUUCUAAGAAUUAAUAAACUAAUGUCCAAUGAUCCGGCUAGCCGAUCAACGAACCAAGUUACCCUGGGGAUAACAGCGCAAUCUGCUUCAAGAGCCCCUAUCGACAAGCAGGUUUACGACCUCGAUGUUGGAUCAGGGUAUCCUAGUGGUGCAGCCGCUACUAAAGGUUCGUUUGUUCAACGAUUAAAACCCUACGUGAUCUGAU